AUUCCAGCUCCAAUAGCGUAUACUAAAGUUGUUGCAGUUAAAAAGCUCGUAGUUGAAUUUCUGGUCGUGGCGACCGGUCCGCCCCUCACGGGGUGUGCACCUGGUCUCUACGUCCAUCCUCGGGGAGAGCGCGUCUGGCAUUCAGUUGUCGGGCGCGGGAUCCUCGUCAUUUACUGUGAGCAAAAUAGAGUGUUCAAAGCAGGCUUAGGCCGUUGAAUACAUUAGCAUGGAAUAAUAAGAUAGGACCUUGGUCUAUUUUGUUGGUUUGCAUUCCAAGGUAAUGAUUAAUAGGGAUAGUUGGGGGUAUUCGUAUUCAAUUGUCAGAGGUGAAAUUCUUGGAUUUAUGGAAGACGAACUACUGCGAAAGCAUUUACCAAGGAUGUUUUCAUUA
rnacentral:rRNA from 1 species